AUGCCACCGGAUAGAGACAUUGAGUUUUUGAUUGAACUAUUGCCAGGAACAGGCCCGAUAUCGAAACGACCAUACAGGAUGCCAGCACAAGAUUUGACAGAAAUCAAGAAGCAGAUUAAGGAGCUAUUAGAUAAAGGUUAUAUACGCCCAAGCUCUUCACCUUGGGGAUCACCCGUUUUGUUAGUGGAGAAGAAGGAUGGAUCUUUGAGAAUGGUUGUUGAUUAUCGUGAAUUGAAUGAGGUAACAAUCAAGAACAAGUACCCAUUACCAAUGAUAAAUGAUCUGUUUGAUCGUUUGCAAGGAGCCAAAGUGUUUUCCAAGAUCGACUUGCGAUCAGGGUACCAUCAGUUGAAGAUUCGGGAGCAAGACAUACCCAAGACUGCAUUUACCACGAGAUAUGGACUGUACGAGUAUACCGUUAUGUCAUUUGGACUGACUAACGCACCAGCUUAUUUCAUGAACCUGAUGAACAAAGUGUUUAUGGAGUUUUUGGAUAAGUUCGUCGUGGUGUUCAUAGAUGACAUUUUGAUUUUCUCGAAGAAUGAAGAGGAACACAAGGAACAAUUGCGAUUGGUUUUGGAGAAGCUAAGAGAACAUCAGUUAUACGCCAAGUUCAGCAAAUGUGAGUUUUGGCUAAAGGAAGUUGGAUUUCUCGGACAUGUUAUAUCCGGAGAAGGAAUAGCAGUUGACCCCAAAAAGGUUGAGACCGUAACUAAUUGGGAAGCACCAACGACAGUUGGAGAGAUUCGGAGUUUUCUUGGACUCGCAGGAUACUACCGAAGAUUCAUUGAGAAUUUCUCAAGGAUUGCUAAGCCUAUGACUGAAUUGUUGAAGAAGGAUAACAAAUUCAUAUGGACUGAGGACUGUGAGGCAAGUUUUCAGGAGUUGAAGAAAAGAUUGGUUACCUCACCAGUUUUGAUAUUGCCAGAUCAGACUAAGGAUUAUGAGGUGUAUUGCGACGCUUCACGUCGAGGACUUGGAGCAGUGCUUAUGCAGGAAGGAAGAGUUGUUUCAUAUGCUUCACGACAACUCAAGCCCCAUGAGUUGAAUUAUGCCACUCAUGAUUUGGAGUUAGCAGCCGUUGUGCAUGCCCUGAAGACGUGGAGACAUUUCCUCAUUGGAAAUCAUUGUGAAGUAUAUACGGAUCACAAGAGUCUGAAGUACAUCUUCACACAGAAGGAAUUGAAUCUCAGACAAAGGAGAUGA
rnacentral:rRNA from 1 species